rnacentral:lncRNA from 1 species
CUGACCCCUGGGUCCAGCCAGGCGGGUUGCCCUCUCCUGGGACUCAGCUGGCACCAAGCCCUGUGCCCGGGCUGGCUUUUGCUGCUCAGGCAGAGAAGACUGCUACAUUUGUAUGGAUUUUGUGACCAGGCGCUUUUCCUUUCUUCUUUUUCCUUUCAGAAGGGGGUUGUUAAACAUUUACCAGCUCACACUGACAGGAGCCCACAGCUCUUACAGUGUCUCAGAGGGGUCCCUGGCUUAGAAGGAACAAUAGCUUAGUGAGAUCCAGGCUUUGUCUCAGGUCCGGAGACAGAUCUGAGCCUGUCUGAAUCCAAAGCCAAAGAAAUUCCUUCCUCCCCGGUGAUGUCAGGAGGUGGCUUCUCUUUCUUUCUACUCCGCCAUGACAACUUCCUGUCCAGGCUAAGAAACCAUUCUGACUGUCCCUUUGGGGCAGAAAUUAAAAGUCCUGCAAGUUCAGAGCUGCCGCCCAGCACACCCUGCCCCCUGACACUGCACCGUAAACAUUGACCAAGCGCCUCGCUUAUCCCCCUGAGCCCGUUUCCUCCCCGGCAUGGUGGGCUCAUGGGCAAGGCCCAUCCAUUCGUCCACCUUCUGUGGCCUGGUGUCUCCCGUGUGUGCCAGGUGAUGUCUGGAAACAGUGAGAUCAGGAUUUCUGCUUUGAGUCCUGGCUCAGCUGUGGGCUCCCUGUGUUACUGGGCCUCAGCCUCCCAUCUGGACCAUGGCCUCUGUGUAAGGGCUCCUUCCAGCUUCCCUC